GAAAAGCACUUUGAGAAAGAGGGUUAAAUAGCACGUGAAAGUGUUGAAAGGGAAGCGCUUGUGACCAGACUUGCGCCGGGCUGAUCAUCCAGUGUUCUCUCUGGUGCACUCGACCCGGCUCAGGCCAGCGUCGGUUCUCGUAGGGGGAUAAAAGGGAACGUGGCACCUUCGGGUGUGUUAUAGCCCGCUGCUUAAUACCCCUGUGGGGACCGAGGUUCGCGCUCUGCAAGGACGCUGGCAUAAUGGUCAUCAGCGACCCGUCUUGAAACACGGACCAAGGAGUCGAGGUUUUGCGCGAGUGUUUGGGUGUAAAACCCGCACGCGUAAUGAAAGUGAACGUAGGUGAGAGCUUCGGCGCAUCAUCGACCGAUCCUGAUGUAUUCGGAUGGAUUUGAGUAAGAGCGUAAAGCCUCGGACCCGAAAGAUGGUGAACUAUGCCUGAAUAGGGUGAAGCCAGAGGAAACUCUGGUGGAGGCUCGCAGCGGUUCUGACGUGCAAAUCGAUCGUCAAA
rnacentral:misc_RNA from 1 species